GACGAACGCUGGCGGCGUGCUUAACACAUGCAAGUCGAACGGAAAGGCCCCUUCGGGGGUACUCGAGUGGCGAACGGGUGAGUAACACGUGGGCAACCUGCCCUCAGCUUCGGGAUAACACUUGGAAACAGGUGCUAAUACCGGAUAAUAACUGGUCAUCGCAUGGUGGUUGGUUCAAAGUUUUCCGGCUGAGGAUGGGCCCGCGGCCUAUCAGCUUGUUGGUGGGGUAAUGGCCUACCAAGGCGACGACGGGAGCCGGCCUGAGAGGGCGACCGGCCACACUGGGACUGAGACACGGCCCAGACUCCUACGGGAGGCAGCAGUGGGGAAUAUUGCGCAAUGGGCGGAAGCCUGACGCAGCGACGCCGCGUGAGGGAUGACGGCCUU
rnacentral:rRNA from 1 species